ACACAUCCUUUCCUGCUGGGACUGUUUGUGAACCAGCUUUCUUUAUACACACUAAUGAACCUAAGUAAUCGGUGGACGCCUAUGCAGGGGUGAGGAGGGCGAAGCAGGCAGGUCUGAUGCCAGUCGCUGUAAACUUCUCAAGUGACCGUGAGAGGCCCAUGCUUCCUGGUGCCAGGUCUUGCCAUCCAACAUCAGCCACUUUCUCUCCGCGUUGUCCACGCGGCUGUGGGGCCCGAGAUCCCUGAGACGCGGUCACCUAGUAACAAGUGGUCUCUGAGGACGCCCGCGCCUAGAGAAGGUCCAGCUCAGCCAACUCAGGCCAGAGCCACCACAUUCCAGGCCACGGGGCUUGCACAAGGCGGAGAGAUGGGGAGGGUGGGGAUGGUGCGGCUGGAACCCUGGACCUCCGCGGUCAGGCAGGGGCAGCGGGGUGCGCUGGGGUGCGCUGCCCUGCGAGCAUUUCCACAUUUCCUCUGCAGCUGGCCCGGCCCAGAAAUAGCAGGGGUGGGGUCCCCCUGCGCCCCACCCCGCCCCUCCUCCCUUCGCUCCCUGACCCUGGGGCCUCCUCUCUGCCCUUCUCCUCCUUCCUCUUUCUCUCUUCUGUCCCAUCCUCCCCUCCUCCCUGAGCUGCGCCCCAGCCGCAGGGGUGGGGAGGGGACCGCUGUGCGCACCCUGCCCUCGGCUCUCACCUGCCUGGCUGCGCAAGCAGGGGAAGUGGGCCAGCCCGGGCUGGUGCUGGGUGCUGGGUGCUGGAUGCUGGGUGAGGGGUGCUGGGGACCGCCCGCUACCGAGCCUCUCCUGGACGCCUAGCGAACCCCGGCGGUGGACCGGCCGCGCAGGAGCCCAGAGUCACCUCCCCUGCAGUCUCCACGCCCGCACCUCGGACCCUGUCGAGUCCUCGCGCCGCCCCGCCCUGCCCCCUAGCGCCCGCCGUGGGGAACGCGGCUCUGACGCCUGAGACCCGUGCCCAGCUGUGCCCAGGUGAGGUCCUUGGCGCUGUUCCUCGGAAGCCUCGGGAGACCCUUCCUCGCUUCUCCUAGACCCUGCCCAGGCCGCCUAGCCACCGCCUCUGCCCACCAUGUGCCCGCCGGUCCCGGGAGGCCCGCUUCUGUCUGUGGGCUGGCUGCAGAUCCAGGUCACUGUCUUGGAGCAAGGACUGCCCCCCAGAGCUCUAGGGGACCAGGUCGUCCCCGUAGGAGAGCGGCAGUGCCUUGGCGUCAGGGGCCGUGUCCUGCAGCCCUCGUGGUGAGCGAGGUCGGAAGCACUGACCUCUCCCCGUCUGAGGAGUGUCUGGCUGUUCCCUGGCGCCUUCUGAGUCUCUCCUGGGACUGCUUCCAGUGCUCCCUUCCCUGGCACAGCAUAGACCUUUCGCUGACCAUGACAGGCACUGGGCCCUCAGCGCUUGGCAGACACAACUCAGCUUCCCUUUGAAACAGCUCCAGACCUGAGGAGACGUCCCCCGGGAAGCCCUCACCCUGGUGUGCACCCCACACUGAGGCCGAGGCCGCAGCCUCACCGCUGUGUCGUGGGUGCACCUGCCUCUGCGGGAUCCAGGGCGGGGCCAGUGGGGACUGACUGUCCAGCAAGUGGUUAUUUUCCCCAGGCUUGUGGAAGGCUGUCUUAGCUCACCGCCCUCCAUGUGCGCCCUGCAGAGGCGCAGCUGCGCGAAGGGGAUGUGGGACAAAAGAGAGGGAGAGGAAAUUGGUGAAUUUCCUGGUCAGUUUCCCAGUGCCCAGGAAAGAGGGCUCUGGCAGAGUGACUUGGGAGCUGCUGUCCUGGGCAUCGAGGAUGCAGGUUACCAGAGCUGCAGACAAAAAGGCCACCAGGUCUAUCUACCCCUGUGCCUCACCCAGGUAUGAGAGGGAGGAAGGACCCCCCCUGGCCACACCAAGCAGGCUUGGACACGUGGCCCUCCGGUCCAUAAGCCUGGGAACUCCGAGUGACCUUAACCUCGACGGGCUCAGAACCACCAACCUCCUCCUCCCGUCUCCACCCAGGGGCCCCUUGACCUGAAAACUUCUGUACAUGAAAUAAACUGUGUGAAACAGGAAGCAUCAAUAUGACCACUGAGUCCAACUUGCAGAAACUCAAAGCUCUCAAGGAUUCAGGCAGGGUGACUGAGCUGCAGGACCACGGUUAAGCUACAGCCAGCCCUCCCAACUCCUGCCCUCGGCAACCCACAGGCCUCCCCCAGCUCUGCCAGCUGGCUCUGAGGCUCUAGGAUUUCAGACCAGUCAUCAAACAUAACUACGGAGCCCUGUGGUCCUCUCCGCGAGCGCCACUCCCAAGAAAAGCGAGGCAGUUUGGUUACGAGAAAGCCUGCAGUUUCGCUUAGCUUUGUUGUGUUUGGCUGUUUGGUUACAGGCCCAGUUAUCACCUUCUAGAAUCUUCUGUCCUCCCCCUAAACUCCAGCUGAGCUCUGAGGUUCAGAAGUUCUCAAGGAAACCAGCACCGGCUAUGAAGACCUGGAAGGGUUUUGUGUGUGUGUGUUUUCUUUCAUUAAGUAACCUCUUUAAUGUCUGUUUAUGGUCAGGCGCAGUCUGAAGCUUCACAUAGCAAUGUCUGAUUAAACGAUGCCCAGUCUGUCCUGGGGCAAUAGA